rnacentral:rRNA from 1 species
UACGUAGGUGGCAAGCGUUGUCCGGAUUUACUGGGCGUAAAGCGCACGUAGGCGGCUUUGUAAGUUAGAGGUGAAAGCCCGGGGCUCAACUCCGGAACUGCCUUUAAGACUGCAUCGCUUGAAUCCGGGAGAGGUGAGUGGAAUUCCGAGUGUAGAGGUGAAAUUCGUAGAUAUUCGGAAGAACACCAGUGGCGAAGGCGGCUCACUGGACCGGUAUUGACGCUGAGGUGCGAAAGCGUGGGGAGCAAACAGG